UCCGUAGGUGAACCUGCGGAAGGAUCAUCACAAAAAGAAAGUAUUAAAAUGUGGGGGGUGGGUUGGAUUGAAAAAACUGGUUAAGGCGAGCUUUGCGUCCCGUCUCUUUGGUUGAAGAGAUGGGAACGAGUUCACACCUCCUGUUUCGGAAAAGACCCCCCGAGGAAAUGAGAGAGAUGACAAAGCCACAGGCGGCAAUUUCGCCGCCGCUCGUGCCGGAUUGCGGGCGAACAACCCGGCUACCGGCGCUGCUCUUUUCCCGUGCUCUUGUGGAUUUCCACUUUUUACUCUUUUUCUUCUGAUGCGCUAAGGGUGCUUUGGUGCACCCGACAAAAAAUGCGGAUAACUUUUAACAAUGGAUCUCUUGGCUCUCGCAUCGAUGAAGGACGCAGCGAAAUGCGAUAGGUAGUGUGAAUUGCAGAAUUCAGUGAAUCAUCGAAUCUUUGAACGCACAUUGCGCCCUCUGGUUAUCCCAGAGGGCACUCUUGUUUGAAGCCCCGGAAAGGACGGUCGCUUUGCGGCCAGGUUGCUGGACGUGCAAAAGUUUGGGGGUCAUUCCGGAACAGCGUUGAGGCCUUCCUCCGCAUCCAAGUCUGACAAACCCGAGCAGCUCCCGGGAGAAGGGUCCGCGAGGGAAUGCGGUUUCCCGCGUUUUUUUUUCGCGUCUGAACGUGUGUGCUUCCGUUCACACGAUCCCCCCGGUGAUUCCAGGCCCAACAGGCACGCCGUCGUAAUGAGCAUCGACGGUGUACAUUGGUAUUAUACGUAUCAAGUCAAACGACAAUACCUAUAAUACUAAUGUAUAUAACUAUAUUACGUGUUCUCAUGCGGCCCGGUCGUCCCAAAUGUAUCCCUCUACGUCGCCGGUGAAUAGCGCUCCCUCUGUUACCUCUUUCUGUUGCUUUUCUGCGCGUUUGGUGCUUUCGUUAGGGUGUACUAUAUGUGCUUUUUAGUAUAUAGAAGGUUGGUGUCGCUUUGCAGUUUCUUAGGUAGUUAGAGAUUUCAGAACGACAGGGAGCGGAAGUAGCCACAUGGCAAAAAAUGACGUUCAGGCCAAUUUUAUUUCACCAGAAUGGAAGGGGGUUUCAAAUCAAGAGGGAUUACCCGCUGAACUUAAGCAUAUCAAUAAGCGGAGGA
rnacentral:rRNA from 1 species